rnacentral:rRNA from 1 species
AAAUUGAAGAGUUUGAUCAUGGCUCAGAUUGAACGCUGGCGGCAGGCCUAACACAUGCAAGUCGAACGGUAACAGGAAGCAGCUUGCUGCUUUGCUGACGAGUGGCGGACGGGUGAGUAAUGUCUGGGAAACUGCCUGAUGGAGGGGAUAACUACUGGAAACGGUGGCUAAUACCGCAUAACGUCGCAAGACCAAAGAGGGGGACCUUCGGGCCUCUUGCCAUCAGAUGUGCCCAGAUGGGAUUAGCUAGUUGGUGAGGUAACGGCUCACCAAGGCGACGAUCCCUAGCUGGUCUGAGAGGAUGACCAGCCACACUGGAACUGAGACACGGUCCAGACUCCUACGGGAGGCAGCAGUGGGGAAUAUUGCACAAUGGGCGCAAGCCUGAUGCAGCCAUGCCGCGUGUAUGAAGAAGGCCUUCGGGUUGUAAAGUACUUUCAGCGGGGAGGAAGGUGUUGUGGUUAAUAACCGCAGCAAUUGACGUUACCCGCAGAAGAAGCACCGGCUAACUCCGUGCCAGCAGCCGCGGUAAUACGGAGGGUGCAAGCGUUAAUCGGAAUUACUGGGCGUAAAGCGCACGCAGGCGGUCUGUCAAGUCGGAUGUGAAAUCCCCGGGCUCAACCUGGGAACUGCAUUCGAAACUGGCAGGCUUGAGUCUUGUAGAGGGGGGUAGAAUUCCAGGUGUAGCGGUGAAAUGCGUAGAGAUCUGGAGGAAUACCGGUGGCGAAGGCGGCCCCCUGGACAAAGACUGACGCUCAGGUGCGAAAGCGUGGGGAGCAAACAGGAUUAGAUACCCUGGUAGUCCACGCCGUAAACGAUGUCUACUUGGAGGUUGUGCCCUUGAGGCGUGGCUUCCGGAGCUAACGCGUUAAGUAGACCGCCUGGGGAGUACGGCCGCAAGGUUAAAACUCAAAUGAAUUGACGGGGGCCCGCACAAGCGGUGGAGCAUGUGGUUUAAUUCGAUGCAACGCGAAGAACCUUACCUGGUCUUGACAUCCACAGAACUUUCCAGAGAUGGAUUGGUGCCUUCGGGAACUGUGAGACAGGUGCUGCAUGGCUGUCGUCAGCUCGUGUUGUGAAAUGUUGGGUUAAGUCCCGCAACGAGCGCAACCCUUAUCCUUUGUUGCCAGCGAUUAGGUCGGGAACUCAAAGGAGACUGCCAGUGAUAAACUGGAGGAAGGUGGGGAUGACGUCAAGUCAUCAUGGCCCUUACGACCAGGGCUACACACGUGCUACAAUGGCGCAUACAAAGAGAAGCGACCUCGCGAGAGCAAGCGGACCUCAUAAAGUGCGUCGUAGUCCGGAUUGGAGUCUGCAACUCGACUCCAUGAAGUCGGAAUCGCUAGUAAUCGUGGAUCAGAAUGCCACGGUGAAUACGUUCCCGGGCCUUGUACACACCGCCCGUCACACCAUGGGAGUGGGUUGCAAAAGAAGUAGGUAGCUUAACCUUCGGGAGGGCGCUUACCACUUUGUGAUUCAUGACUGGGGUGAAGUCGUAACAAGGUAACCGUAGGGGAACCUGCGGUUGGAUCACCUCCUUA